AUCGGCGUGGUCAACGAAGACAUCGGUUGCUCCCAGCUGCCGGAUGAAGUUCAACCGUGACGUGGAGAGGUUCCGCGUCCGUACGCCGACGC
rnacentral:tRNA from 1 species